UUUUUUUGCUUUAGAGUGCAGUUUGUAUCUCAACGUUAAAGAGAAUUGUUUUGUGUCAGUAUCAGGUUAAAUAUUAUGGACAAAUCGGAGUUAAAGGCGAAAGAGAUUAUGUAUGUUAUUUACUAAGAAUAGUUUUUAAAAAUGGCUGAGCUGAAAUAUUAAACUAUGUAGGGAGAGGACAAAAAAUCGGAAAAGGAAAAAGGUUAAUUGUAUAUGUUGCUAUUAAAGGUGUGAAGUCAAACAAGCAUGACUUAUGGAGGCAUGUGAUAGAGAUGGUUAAAGAAAAGAUGAUCGUCAUGGGCACCAAAUAUUAUUAGCUAAACACGAUUCAAUAACAACUAGCUUAGCCAAUAUCAAAACUACUCCAUAAAUUUUAUAUGGAAUUUUUUUAUUUAAAACUCAAUGUGUUAGUUUUCGGUUUAUCUUUGGUGUUUACAAAUGUAUACUUAACGGAGAAAUUGUGUAAAUUCAAUAAAUAUAUUUUUAUACUUGUAUCAUA
rnacentral:lncRNA from 1 species